rnacentral:lncRNA from 1 species
AUGGGACAAGAAGAACUGCAAAAUGAAUUAGAAAGAGGCCAGCAUUCCCAGCUGAUCCUUUGGACCAUUGCUAUUUUUUUCAUGUCACUUCUAAGUGCCUGUUUUAUUGCAAAUUGUGUGGUGACUCACCACAACUUUCUAUCCUGUAAGAAAGGAACGGGGUUCUUCAGGCUCCCAAAGCAGCACCCAAAGGUGACAUGUGUCAGAGAGAAACCGGAACUGAAAGGGGGCACCUGGAAUUGCUGUCCUGUGGGCUGGAGAGCCUUCCGGUCCAACUGCUAUUUUCCUUUUAAUGACAACAAGACGUGGGCUCAGAGUGAAAGCCACUGCUCUGGGAUGGGAGGUCACCUGGCCACCAUCAGCACAGGGGCUGAGCAGAACUUUAUCACUCAAUUUUUGGAUAGACGAUUUUCAUAUUUCCUGGGACUUAGGAAUGAGAACCUUGACGGCCAGUGGCAUUGGGUGGACAAGAAACCAUUUAACCCACAGAUGGUAUUCUGGCACAAGCGUGAAUCCAACAAUGAUCAGAAAGAAAAAUGUGUUGUUCUUGUUAAUGACAAAGACAAAUGGGCCUGGAGUGAUUUUCCUUGUGACUAUAAGACAAGUUGGAUUUGCAAGAUAACUGGAACUGCAUUCAACUAA